UGAUGACGUUCUCCGGAAUCGCUGAGCUCCACUGAUGAGAGCGCACCUGAACCCUUUUCCAUCUGACCGCUGAGCGCGGUCGUG
ensembl:snoRNA SNORD68 small nucleolar RNA, C/D box 68